ACUGAUUGGCCAUGUCGGUUGGUGGAGGGUUGCGACACAUUUAUAAUAACACGAUCUAACAAAAAUCUUUAUUAUGGACCUAAAAUAACAGUGAAACAAACCUCUAAGCUUAACCAAAAGUAAAGAAAUAUGGUACUCACCAUGCGGUCAUCCUGUCAAAACAUUGAAUUUGUUAUCGAUGAAAAUGAACGGCAUUCUUUUCAAGCUGUGCAAUCCGAUAUGAUAAUCAGAGUUUGCUAGGUUUGUUUUCUCUUUCAUUUGUGCCUGGUGGUGAUUGCUUGUGUUGCAGUCGAGGCAUCGUGUGCUAUUGUUUGGUUUCUUAUUUUCUCUUUCUACGUGACUUUGCC